CCCCCCUCAGGAUCACACCUGGAGAGUUUCCAGUACUCUACCAGUCACGACUACAGGAGGGACAGUCAAGCAGAGGCCUACCCAUUCCAUUCCUAGCUUGGCCAGUAGUUAGAGAGUGGAAGGCAGUCUGUUACAAGU